GGGAGUGGCCAACGGCUUGCAGAGCAACAUGCCCAAGUUUUAUUGUGACUACUGCAAUACAUACCUCACCCAUGACUCUCCAUCUGUGAGAAAGACACACUGCAGUGGUAGGAAACACAAAGAGAAUGUGAAAGACUACUAUCAGAAAUGGAUGGAAGAGCAGGCUCAGAGCCUGAUAGACAAAACAACGGCUGCAUUUCAACAAGGAAAGAUACCUCCUACUCCAUUCUCUGCUCCUCCUCCAGCAGGGGCGAUGAUAACACCUCCCCCCAAGUCUUCCAGGUCCUCCUCGCCCUGAUAUGAUGCCAGCACCCCAUAUGGGGGGCCCUCCCAUGAUGCCAAUGAUGGGCCCUCCUCCUCCUGGGAUGAUGCCAGUGGGACCUGCUCCUCGAAUGAGGUCACCCAUGGGAGGCCAUAUGCCAAUGAUGCCUGGGCCCCCAAUGAUGAGACCUCCUGCCCAUCCCAUGAAGGUGUCCACUUGGCCUGGAAUGACUCGACCAGACAGAUAAGAUAGAGGGGAGGCCUCAUUCUAUCAG